rnacentral:tRNA from 1 species
GAGUUAAUAUUAUUAGUUUUGAAAACUUUUUUUAGAUUUGUUCUUUAACUUU